rnacentral:rRNA from 1 species
UAGGGAAUCUUCGGCAAUGGACGAAAGUCUGACCGAGCAACGCCGCGUGAGUGAAGAAGGUUUUCGGAUCGUAAAACUCUGUUGUUAGAGAAGAACAAGGACGUUAGUAACUGAACGUCCCCUGACGGUAUCUAACCAGAAAGCCACGGCUAACUACGUGCCAGCAGCCGCGGUAUUACGUAGGUGGCAAGCGUUGUCCGGAUUUAUUGGGCGUAAAGCGAGCGCAGGCGGUUUCUUAAGUCUGAUGUGAAAGCCCCCGGCUCAACCGGGGAGGGUCAUUGGAAACUGGGAGACUUGAGUGCAGAAGAGGAGAGUGGAAUUCAAUGUGUAGCGGUGAAAUGCGUAAAUAUAUGGAGGAACACCAGUGGCGAAGGCGGCUCUCUGGUAUGGAACUGACGAUGAGGCUCGAAAGCGUGGGGAGCAAACAGG